rnacentral:rRNA from 1 species
ACGCGAAGAACCUUACCUGGACUCGAAAUUUUGUUGACAGUCUCAGAGAUGAGAUCUUCCCGCAAGGGACAGCAGAAUAGGUGCUGCAUGGCUGUCGUCAGCUCGUGUCGUGAGAUGUUGGGUUAAGUCCCGCAACGAGCGCAACCCUUACCCUUAGUUGCUAAUCCGCAAGGAAAGCACCCUAAGGGAACUGCCUCGGAUAACGAGGAGGAAGGUGGGGAUGACGUCAAGUCCUCAUGGCCUUUAUGCCCAGGGCUACACACGUGCUACAAUGGCCGGUACAAACCGUCGCAGACCCGCGAGGGGAAGCCAAUCGGAAAAAACCGGUCUCAGUUCGGAUUGCAGGCUGCAACUCGCCUGCAUGAAGCUGGAAUCGCUAGUAAUCGCGUAUCAGAACGACGCGGUGAAUACGUUCCCGGGCCUUGUA